rnacentral:rRNA from 1 species
UACGUAGGGGGCUAGCGUUGUCCGGAUUUAUUGGGCGUAAAGAGCGUGUAGGCGGCCAGGUAGGUCUGGUGUGAAAACUCGAGGCUUAACCUCGAGAUGUCAUCGGAAACCAUUUGGCUAGAGUCCGGAAGAGGUGAGUGGAACUGCGAGUGUAGAGGUGAGAUUCGUAGAUAUUCGCAAGAACACCAGUGGCGAAGGCGGCUCACUGGUCCGGUACUGACGCUGAGGCGCGAAAGCGUGGGGAGCAAACAGG